GGCAGCCUGCGGGCGUGGGUUGAGCGGCUAGCCCCGUCCCCAGAGUGGGGGCGAGUCCACCCAGGGGGCGCCCAGCUCGGGGACACUGAGGGGGAGACCUGGCGCGCGACCCAUAUUCAUCCAGCAGUGAAAGAAACUCACCCUCGGGUCCCCAGCUACACACACACACACACACACACACACACACACACACACACACACACACAGUCGCACCCGGGACAGAAGGAGGAGGGACACUUGGCACGGGGGGAGCUGGAUCUUUGUAGCCCCGCACUGACCGCCGCCGCUAACGGACGGACCGGCGCGCCACCCCCUAGGUCAGGGCGCCCCUAAAGUCAGUAGGGAAAGUGCCCAACUGGCCCUCCCAUCUCCCCUUCCAAAUUAAACCCCUCCUCCCCGCGCGUAGUGGCCUGUCACCGACCUUAAACUUUCUCAACGACCCUAUUUCGGGAUGCUUAGGUUGUGGGGGCCGUUUGGGAUCCAGGGUGUCAUCUGGGAAAGGUGCCCGUGAGCGCACUCCUACCUCGCCCCUGCUCUUAAAACACAUACUAAAUUCCUGGGAGGUUUUGUAGAGUUCAGGACAACAUUCCCCAGCUAACCUUUGGGUCGCGGUGUAGGGAGGAAAGGUUAAAUCUAUGAGGUGCUGGGGACCGUGGCGGGAUGAAAACACUGUCCUGUCCCGGGACACCCCUGUCGCUUUCGCUCCGAGUUUUCCCUGGACUGGAGGUAACUCCAAGAUAACGCGUCGGGAAGGAGCAGGGUACCGACUAGGGACCCAGAGAGAUCGCUGUUUCUCCACCCCCAAGUCUCACACACACCCCUUAGUCGCUCCCUCCAAAUGGUUAUCACAACUGUGUACAAACUGAUAGGGCCCUUAGCGGGCCAAGGACUGGAAACGAACAUUGGCGGGGUUAUCAGCGCCGAUCUGUCAGCAGCAGCGAGUGCACUGCCCGUCCCAGGCAGCAGUGAUAUACGUCUUGUUCCUGCGGGCUCACGGAAAGGAUUCCUUCCGACAAGCUGGACACUGGAAGGCUGAGGAAAGAUAGUUGAACAGGAGGAACUCUCUUGUGGGAAUGGAUUUUUACACACACACACCCAGGUAAAUCAAAGUAAAUGCUUUCUACAGGACUUCCUGAAAGCAUUUGAGCUGUUUUUGUUGUUUUAGUUUCGUUUGAUAUUUAUUUUUGUUAUUUUUCCAGUUGGAGAAAGGAUUGGGGUCCAAGCAGAGUUGAACGUGGGUGCGCUGUAAAAGACGAUCUCGGGAGGUGUGAGACGUUGUUAGGAAGGAGUUCUUUCCUUGAACUGUACCUGUGCGCUGGGGGAGAAGGGACCGAGCUUGCUGGGAGGGGGAGGGGGCUCCGAAUCCAGGAAGUUACCGAGAAUUCUCCGUUUUCAUUCUUCACUGUAAAUUGCGGCCAAACACUUCUGAAUUUUAAACCUGCUACCGAGAAGGUCUAUAAACCUUCUUGUCCAACGGCGUCACUUUGACCACGUUCAUUUUUGCCUCCCCCGGUCACUGUGUCUUCAGUGCGGCGGCUGCCUUUCUGAAAGCUGAAGAUAGAAAACUCUGGAACGGAGAGGCUAGAGGCUGGAGUGGGAUUCGGAGGCUUUAAAUUUUAACCAGUGUUCGAUCGAAAGUUACAACCACGAGAGACUGGCACGGGCCGGCCCAAUUCCCACCGCAGGUUCCAACGGCUUGCUUUGGGUGGUUCGAGCGAGGCAGCCGAGCCUGGGGAGCACACUGGCCCUGGCGCCGCUGGGACAGAGACGUGAUCAGGUGGCGGUGGCAGACGAAGGUCUCCCCAAUUCCGGCCUCAGGCGGUGGGACUCAAGCCACACCCUCGAGGGAGCCUGCCCCGCGCGCUCCCAGACCCGGGUGACCCCGGCCGGCGGCCGCCAGCUCAACGCCGCGGUGGGCUCGCGGCCGCCCGAAAGGUCACCGCGGUGGCGUCCCUCUCCGUGCGCUGUUUACGUGACUUAAUGUGCUUCUUACGCGGCGCUUGUUAUCUGGGCCACCCAAUGACCGACGAAAGAUCUUCCCUCCCCACGUCUCCCAUCGCCGCUUUAAACCAAAUAAAUUUAGCUAUUAAGGGCCAAGAUGUCUGACAAAAGAUCGAAAGGUGUCUCUCUGGGAUCGCUUGAAGAAGCAGAGCUGGCGGCUCUCGAAUCCCGAUAAAGAAAUUCCACGCCGGCGCCGGGCUCCCUCCCCAGCCUGCUUGCAGUCCGACACCCUGAGAUCAGGACCUCAAAGGUCCAUUGGGACCUGUGGCUACAAUUGAGGCGAUGUCUAGGUGUCUAGGGUCCCGGGCCUGGAGAUGCUAGGCCUUGGGAGGGGGUCACUGAGGUCCCUGGAGCAGUGGGACCUAAAACAUUCCUGAGAAGCUUGCAGAAGAACCAAGGCCAAGGAAACCCAAAGUAGCUUUAAAUUUGCCCCUCCCCCACCCCUUUUCCUUUGAGACAAAUUCUCUCAUGAUGUAUGGCAGGCUGGCCUCGAACUCAUGAUCCUCAAACCUCAGGCCUGUGGAGUAUUGGAAUUACAAGUGUAGUCUUGUCCUGUCGUUUUUAUUAUUUUCUAAUACUAAGUAAUAAAUGCAAAGCCUAAUCA